UAGGUUUUUGUCUGAAUCAGAUACUAUUCCUGAGGGGUUGUUAGAUCCUGUUUGGUGUAGGAAUAGAAGGUGGACUGCUGCUAGGGCUGAAAUAAUGAAUGGGAGAAUAAAGCGAAAGGCAAAGAAUCGUGUCAGGGUGGCUUUGUCUACUGAGAAUCCUCCUCAGAUUUAUUCUACUAAAUUAGUUCCGAUGUAGGGGAUUUCUGAUAGGAGGUUGGUGAUGACAGUAGCUCCUCAGAAGGAUAUUUGGCCUCAUGGUAGAACCUAACCUGUGAAGGCUGGAGCCAUGACUGUAAAUAACAGUACUAUUCCGAUGUUUCAUAUUUCUGAGAAGGUAUAGGAGCCAUAGUAUAUGCCUCGGCCUACAUGCAUAAAUAAGCAGAUGAAAAAUACAGAAGCCCCGUUGGCAUGUAUAUAUCAAAUGAUUCAGCCGUAGUUUACAUCGCGGCAAAUGUGGGUUACCGAUGAGAAGGCGGUUGCUGUGUCUGAUGUAUGUAAUGCAUGGCUAGGAAUAGGCCUGUCAGAAACUGUAGGAUCAGGCAGACUCCUAAUAAGGAGCUGAAAUUUCAUCAUGCUGAAAUGUUGGAUGGAGCUGGGAGAUUGAUGAAUGAUUCAUUGAUGAUUUUGAUGAGUGGGUGAUAUUUUCAGAUGUUGGGCAUUAAGUUCUUAUAGUUGAAAUACAACGAUGGUUUUUCAUAUCAUUCAUCAUGGUUAGAUUCCAUGUGGGAAUAAUGGUAACGUACAUUGUAUUUAUUUAAGUACUAUUUUUGUGAUUAGGUCUGUCAGUUUUUCUUCAAAGCCUUCUCCAGUUGAUGGUGGAUUUGGUUUGAUUGUGGCUGGUGGUAUUGGUUGUGGAAUUGUAUUAAAUUGGGGGGGGGUUCUUUAUUAGGCUUAAUGGUCUUUUUAUUUGGGGGGUAUGCUUGCGGUGUUCGGUUAUACUACGGCUAUGGCUACUGGACCAUACCCUGAUGUUUGAGCAUCUGAUAAGACUGUGUUAGGAAUAUUUAUUACAGGGGUAUUAGCAGAAUUGUUAACGGCUUGUUAUAUUUUGAAAGAGGUUGAGGCUGUAUUUAAGUUUAAUGGUGCAGGUGAUUGAGUUAUUUAUGAUACAGGUGAUUCAGGAUUUUUUAGUGAAGAAGCUAUAGGAAUCACAGCUUUAUAUAGCUAUGGAACCUGAUUCGUUAUUGUCACUGGUUGAUCCUUGC